UGGGAAUUUGGACAAUGGGCGAAAGCCUGAUCCAGCAAUGCCGCGUGUGUGAAGAAGGCCUUCGGGUUGUAAAGCACUUUUGUCCGGAAAGAAAUCCUUGGCUCUAAUACAGUCGGGGGAUGACGGUACCGGAAGAAUAAGCACCGGCUAACUACGUGCCAGCAGCCGCGGUAAUACGUAGGGUGCAAGCGUUAAUCGGAAUUACUGGGCGUAAAGCGUGCGCAGGCGGUUUGCUAAGACCGAUGUGAAAUCCCCGGGCUCAACCUGGGAACUGCAUUGGUGACUGGCAGGCUAGAGUAUGGCAGAGGGGGGUAGAAUUCCACGUGUAGCAGUGAAAUGCGUAGAGAUGUGGAGGAAUACCGAUGGCGAAGGCAGCCCCCUGGGCCAAUACUGACGCUCAUGCACGAAAGCGUGGGGAGCAAAACAGGAUUAGAUACCCUGGUAGUCCACGCCCUAAAACGAUGUCAACUAGUUGUUGGGGAUUCAUUUCCCUAGUAACGUAGCUAACGCGUGAAGUUGACCGCCUGGGGAGUACGGUCGCAAGAUUAAAACUCAAAUGAAUUGACGGGGUCAUAGCUGUUUCCU
rnacentral:rRNA from 1 species